CUCAAGUUCUUAAGUUUAAACUUCAACCACCAGCUAAGGAGGGUCGUGAUGAGUCUUGGUCAUAUGACAGAACCCAUCGCUCAUUGAUUCAGCAACAUUAUCCCUCAGCAAAUACGAUUUCUAGCCCAAUAAUCAAAAUUUGAUGGGGUGGCGGAUGGCAUUUGAUCAUCCAAGUUAAGAUUUUUCAGCAGAUGUUUAUCUGUGGAGACUCUUCUAUUGUAAGAACAUUCAUAGUUUUAGAAAAGAGGCAUUUUCUGGGAGAACAUGCUCUCCUGUCCUCUCUGUUUCCAGCUGCAAACUAACGUGUCAUUUUGCCAAAUGCUUCCUGUCUAGCUUCUGGCUAUUUCUGAGAGAGAGAGAGAAGGUGGGGGCAGGGGGAGAAAGAGAGAGAGAGAGAGAGAUUUUUUUUUACACAUUUGCUUUGUACUAGGAAAAUAUUUCUUAUACAGUCAACAAUAGCAUAUUAAUGGGGAUGAUUUAAGGAGCCCAAGCUUCUAUUCUGUUGCCAGAAUGCCAACGGGAAUGUAUGCUACUUUUCAAAAAAUAGGUGUUGACAAUAGCCUGCAGUAUUGCACUGUAGUCAAAGAAGAGUGCUGAAAGCUUCAGUUCAUAAAAAUGCUUGAUUCAUCAAAAAUAAUCACCUCACCUGAUAAUUGAAAGCUACAGAGAAUUAUUAUGCAGCCGUGGACUCUCAAAAAUUUAUUCAUUUUUGGUAAUUAACAUUAUUUCUUCUUGAUGAUGUUGCUAAAUGGCUUGAACCCAGUCUGAAGAACCAUGCAUGAUCAUUUAUGCUGAAAAGAAAAGAAAUUAGAAGCUUUUGUUGCACAGAAUGGUGGAUAAAGAUUGCGAAUUUGCACAGCUAUAAAGCUUACUAAUUAAAGACUACAAACACAAAGAGAGCAAGCCUUGUGAUGACUGCACAAUAACGAGGAUUCAGAUACAACGUGGUCGCCACCUGACGCCCACCUCCACAAAAAGCCAUUCUCAAAAGGAGAGAGACAUUCAUAUCCAGAAGAGGGAGUCGGCUGUAGGGUAGAGAUGUUCGUCUGAAGAUUUCAAAGCCCACUGCUGAUUUAAGGUCAUUCACAUUCAGCCAUGAAGCUGCUCUGAAGACACAGGAACUGCAUAGCUCCCUACUGGGAAUGUCAAGGGCUGUGAAAGGUCUAAGGUUUUAUCCUACUUGCAACCAACAAGCUAUGCAGCCACAGUUUUAUGGAUGCUGUCAAAAGACAUGACACUCCUGGGUAAGAGACGAAAGACUUUACCACUUGUGGUGUAGUAGCCAGCUGGAGCAUCUUGUGUUUUGAGUUAGUGCCAGUUGUCCCCUAAGUCCCACAGCAUGCAGUUUAGGCUGCUAACAACAGCAUGAGGGCAACCUGCUGUGGUGACCUAAGCUAUGACACCCCACCCCAAGUCCGGGAUGCAGCUAACUGAGCAAACUGCAUGAACUGGGAGGCGGCCGACCAUUGUUCACGCCUCUCCUUCGCGUAUGUGUUUUCUACUGUUCUUGCACUGUAAAGGCAGAGGUUGCAUCGGGCCCUUAUGCAAAGCCCCAAAUAAUUACUGGCUGACUCUUCUCAGGGAACAUUUGCUAACCCUGUCACAAGCCAUAAGGUUCCACCACAGAUUGCCCUGUGGCUCUCUCGUUACGUUUCUGUGUGGACGUUUCCACAUGGUCUGAGGCAUUCAUCCAAGAAGAGCAGGAUGUAUUAGUGACUGCACAGAUUCUGCCUUGGCCCACAAAGAGGACAUCCAGGGCAGUCCUGGUCAUCUGUAAUAACAUUGCCCAGUGAGUUGAGGCUGACCUGAGUACUGACUUGGGUUGAGUUGGUGUCACUGAUCACUUCAGCCAAAGAUGGGACAUUUCUUAGCACCUGUUCUGAUUGGCUGACUUCUAUGGUCAGGAUAACGGCUCUCAGGAUGCGUAUAACUGCCAAGUCUCUCCGGGAAGCUUCCCUGGGUUACCAAGGAAUCCUCAUGUCUGAGAGAGCUCCACCAUCAUCCAAGGGCCACACGGAGUUUCUUGCAAUGCUUCAAGGUCUCCUGUAAUAACUCCUAUGAUAGAAGUCACUGUGUUUUGGGGAGGUAGACUGCAGCAUGCAGUUUUGACAGCAUGACCAAGGUCAUUGUUCAGGUCUGAUUAUUCAAAUUCAAAAAACUGCAACCUCAGGCAUAAAAGAUUAAGGAUGGAGCCCAAGUCUCUGGGUCCCCAAGGGGGACUGAAGCACAUACUCACCCAUCUGAAUAUGCUGGAGAACAGGAAGGAGAGACUCAAGCUUGUCUGGGUCUGUUGGAUACAGACUCUCCCAUCUCCACCCCAUCAGGUCCUAUGGAGGCCCAAGUUCAGCUGAUGAAGUUAAGGGAGUGCUCAGUGCAGAAGGGUGGGAGGGCACUUGGGGCAUUUUGGGGUCCUGUUUUUGUUGCUUCUGCAUCUGAUACAGCAGGAAUUGAAGUAUUGCACACUUGUCCUUCCCAUUUCCAAGUGCUGCCUUCCCAUCAGUAAGAGCCACAGUUAGAGAGGGACCAACAGGAGGAUAACUCCCACAUGCUUAGCAUUCCAAUAAUGGAACACUAGGCAUAAAUUGAUAAGAUGCUUUCAAUGCAAUCAGUACUCUGCCAGGAUUCACUAAGUAGAGAAUGACUAAAUAUUUACCCAUCUCCUAACAAAAAUGCACAACUGAGGACAGAUGUUUUGCACUUUUAUGUGUCUACGGACUGUGUAAGAGGAUUUGGCUGGGUCAUCAUCUUCUUCUUCUUCUUAGACUGGUUGAUGGUGACCGUUCAUUGAUCCAAUAUGGUAAAGUCAUGUCCUGGUCUGUGUUCUUCGGGGUCCACAACCCUCUUUAACAGCCUGUUGUAAGGUUCUCGACCACGUCACUGUCUAGCUAAACCAUUCUGCAUUUCAGUAGGUAAACCAGCAGGAGGGCUUAAAAACCACAUUGCCCUGUCCACAUCCCUAUUUCUGAUUCUUUUCUGGCCUGCGAUCCUACAUCUCUAUCCUCACUUUAAACUGUUUUCCUCUUUUCUUCUCCUUUUUCCUGACCUCCUUUAUGUUUUUCAUUUCUCCUCCAUCUGAAUAUACCAAACCAUCCUUUUGCUUCCUCUUUUCUCUUCAUUAAUUAUUCUAGGGGCUAUUUUUUUUAUUAGGAAGAUGUAUUAUUUUAACAUGCUUUAUAAAGUUAGUGGCAUUAAGGAAUUAAUGUCCUUGGAAACUCAUACAUGUUCAGCUUCUAGAAACCCCUGAUUCCAAGGAGCAAAAACAUGCCAUCUCUGACAGUGUCCACAAGAACAAUACCAGAUCAGACGAUAAAGCCAACACACAGCAUAGCCAAUGGCCACACAUCCAGAAAACACUCUCAACAAAUUUAACCCUUCAGUAUUCACUGUAGCCAAUAUAUAUUCAAUAUAUAUAGCUGACUUUGUUUUUAUAUUUGAUGAAGUCCUGCUAUUUGAAAUAAAAUAAUCAAACCAACAACAACAACAACAAAAACCCCAUACAUGGUGAUAGCAUAUGUGAGGCAGUAGCAAUUUCUCCAUCUUUUCUGUCCUGUCUUUCCUGUUCUUCGUUCCCAUGCUAAGAAGGGAUGGAUAUAUCUCGGAGAUUACACAGGUUCUAGUCAAAGACUUCAUUGUGAACGUUUGUUUCACAUUUUCCCUGGAUAAGGACUAAUUAAAAGUUUGGAAAAGUAUACCUUUUUUUUUUUUUUUUUUUGCAAACUUACCCAUAUUAUGUGCUUUUUCUUGAUACAGCUGCUAAUCUUUGCUGUAUAUGUAGUGUUAGGAAGUCUACUUUAAUACACACACACACGUUUAAUGAGGUAAAAUAUGCAUAACAUAAUUACCAUUUUAACAAUUUUUAAGUGUAGAGUUCAGGGGCAAGUACGUUCAUGUUCUUGUGCAACUAUCACCACCAUUUUUUCUCCAGAACCCUUUUUAUCAUCUCAAACUGAAACUCUGCACCCACUGAACAAUAACUCCCCGUUCUCUCCUCCUCCUAGACCCUGGUAACCCCUCAUCUAUUUUCUGUCUCUGUGUAUUUGACUAUUCUAGGUACCACAUUAACGUGGACUUACACAGUAUUCGUCCUUUUGUGACUGGCUUAGUUUAUUUAGCAUAAGAUCCCCAAGGUUCAGCCGGGUGCCGUGGCUCAUGCCUGAAAUCCAAGCACUUUGGGAGGCCAAGGUGGGUGGAUCACCUGAGGUCAGGAGAUUGAGACCAGCCUGGCCAACACGGUGAAACCUCAUCUCUACUAAAAUACAAAAAUUAGCUGGGCCUGGUGGCGGGCGCCUGUAAUCCUAGCUACUAGGUAGGCUGAGGCAGGAGAUUAGCUUGAACCUGGGAGGCGGAGGUUGCAGUGAGCAGAGAUGGGACCACUCCACUCCAGCUUGGGCAACAGAGCAAGACCCUGUCUCAAAAAAAAAAAAUUCAAGGUUCAUCCAUGCUGUGGCAUGUGUCAUAAUUUCAUUUCUUCAUAUUCCUGAAAUACAUUUCUAAAUAUAAAUUUUUCAUUACUGUUUUCAUUUCAAGUUAAGUUUAUCAGAUCCUGUAGUCCAGGGACUUCAGUCUCUUUGAAUUAUGUCUUUCUUGGACAAUUUGGGAGCUCUUUUGAGAAACUGAAUACAAUUUGAAUACACUAAAAUCUGAAUCACACCAUAGAUAACGACAUAGUGUCUUAGUGAGAAGAAAUUUGAUUCUGCUGACUAGGAUACUAAAGUUUGACCUUUAUGGUCAUCUCUUAAUAAAAUAAAAGGAGAGCACUGGGCUAUUAAAUAGUUUAUUCAUGGAUCAUAGGGUGAAUAAGACCUAGAUCCUAGAGGAAAUCCUCCCCACAAAGACACUCAGACUUUUAUUCCUGUCAAUGUUCUUGUGGAUUUCAGGGAGCAAUGAUGGCUAUAAAUCUGCAACUCAUAGCAUUUCAGGCUAAACACAUUCAGCCUUUAUUACCAUUGUUCAUUUGACCUCUUUAUCCAAUUUUUUUCCCACCCACUUGCCAAUAUCACCUUGUUCUUAUGUAGGCUGUGUUUCAGCCAGCUUAAGCCUUACUAACAAAUGAGGUGAAAUCCAUCUGAGGAGGAAGCCGGGGCAUGGUGGAUUGAAAUAGCUUGCCUCAGGAGCAGAAAAUUUGGUGUGGAUCAAGAAAUAGAACUCCAAAGUAUACCUUUCCAGUCAUUGGCUUUAGCUGGAGCCAGCAUCCUUCAAUGAAUCAGUCAACAUUUACCUAUCUGUUCCCCACAGCAGUUUUGCAAAUCGCUUUCAGAAAUCAUUGAACCACUAACAGUUUAUCCACUCUGCAAAAUAUACACAGCUCUUCCCAUAUCCAGGAGGGUUAUCCCUUCUCAGCUGCGUUCAACACUUUUUACAACCCCUGAUUUCAAUAAGCAGAAUACAUCCACCUGCUUAGGGAAAUUACUCUUACCAUAUAAUUGCCUCUUAUGUUGAAAUGUCCAUGAGACCCUCUCAUGAAAUAGGGGACAAGAUAAAGCACAGAUUUUCCCCCAACUCAAACAUGCCUGUCUCAUACAUGUCAUGCCCUUGGAAAUGGCCAACACUGCUCUCUGCCUCCUGUUUAGGGUUAAGGCUUUCACUAUCUCUUGCCACCUCUGAUGAAAUUACUAACAAAUAUAUUAUCCUUACCCUUUGUCUUCUAUUCCAGCACUUCAAAUGCAUCAAAGGUCCAGAGAGAAGCUUCUUCUGGUCACCUUGAUCUUGUGAUGCAAGGCAGGUGGGAGCAAGGGCUCCACCUCUGCAGACACAGAGAUGACGGGGUCGCCAUGCCGGCGUUUUAGUCCCGGUUUCCUCUGCUCGAGUAGUUGGUGGCCUCCUGCCUGUUCCCUAACAUAACUUCACUUUCCUUACCUGCAAAACGAAAUUAGUAUUUCCUCCCUCACAAGGUGCUUGAUGCCCUUCCCCUUGCGUUUACUUUGCCUGAGAGACUAUAUCAUAUCUAUGAUUUUGUGAAUGGGGCAAAAGGAAUUGAGAGUGUCAGGGUAUACCUUAUAAAUAAGCCACUAAAGGUUACAUCCUCAUUCCACAAACUGACCUAAACAAUUUGGCUGUCACUAAUAGAUUAUUUUGGUCAGUUAUGGCAUUUAGAGGGAGAAGAGAGAGUAUAUAUAUAUGGGUGGGGUGUGUGUGUAUGCGUGUGUAUGUGUGUGUUUACAGUCAAAAUACCAAAAUAUAUCUAUGUAUAUAAAUAUAUUUGCUUUCUUUGUUUUUGUUACAAUAAACUUGUACAUACAAUUCUGACACACAUAUUUUCAUAUGUAGGCACAAAAAUAGUCAUACAAAAAAUACCACAAAAGGUAAUAACAAAGUGGAAGAAGACAUAGGAACAGAGAACAAACCAACACAUAGAAAAAGUAACAAACAUGGUAGAUACGAAUCCAGCUAUAUCAAUAAUCGCGUUAAACAUCAAUGGUCUUAAAUAUACUAGACAGUGGAAUAUUAUUCAGCAUUGAAAAGAAAUGACCUAUCAAGCCAUGAAAGACAAGGAGGAACCUUAAAUGCAUGUUACUGAGUGAAAGAAGCCAAUCUGAAAAGGCUGCAUCCUGCAGGAUUCUGACUCUAUGACAUUCUGGAAAAGGUAAAACUACUAAGACAGUGAAAAGAUCAGUAGCUGCCAGGGGUUACGGGAAGGGGAUGAUGAAUAAGUGGGGCACAGCAUUUUGAGGAGGUGAAACUACUCUGUAGGAUACUGUAACAGUAAAUCCAUGUCAUUAUAUGUUUGUACACACCCAUAGAACACCAGGAGGACAGCACCAAGAGGGAGCCCUAGUGUGAACUGUGGACUCUGGUUGGUAAUGAUGUGCCUGUGAAGCUUCAUUGUUUGCAGCAAAUGCAUCAGUGUGGUGGGGGAUGUUUCUAAAUUGAUAAUGAAGGACGCCAUAGGUGUAUGGGGGCAGAGAGUUUAUGAGAAAUCUGUACCUUUUGCUCAAUUUUACUGAACAUAAAACUGCUGAAGCCAUCAUUCUCAGCAAACUAACCCAGGAGCAGAAAACCAAACGCCGCAUGUUCUCACUCAUAAGUGGGAGUUGAACAAUGAGAACACAUGGACACAGGGAGGGGAACAUCGUCACACACCGGAGCCUGUCGCAGGGUGGGGAGCUGGGGGAGGGAGAGCAUUAAGACAAAUACCUAAUGCAUGUGGGGCUUAAAACCUAGAUGAUAGGUUGAUAGGUGCAGCAAACCACCAUGGCACAUGUAUACCUAUGUAACAAACCUGCACAUUCUGCACAUGUAUCCCAGAACUUAAAGUAAAAUAUAUUAAAAAAAUUAAAGUCUAUUUUAAAAAAAGAAAAACAAUCAGCUAACCUACUUUGGUAGCUCUGUUCUGCGCUGUCGGGUCUUCCAUCCUAGCGUGUGACACAGGAGGGUUUCGCUGGCAGGACCCGCCCACUGCACAUGCAGGUUCAGGUGACAGAGACCUCUGGAAAGAUGAGGCCCGUGGGAGCAGGGGGCUUCUUGUUGACACUGAAGGUCAGGCUUCAGGAAUGCCAGGGGCUCAUAAAAUCUUUUUCACUGAACAUUAUGCUGAGCAGGAUUCAUUUUACCAGUGAAAAAAUAUUUCUGACAUCCUUUGUGCUUUUUAACAAAGCCUGUGGUGUGGAUUUGCAUGAUUCUUAGAUUGCUGAGUAACCACUUCGGGAGGGUUCUUGAUUAGGGCACUAAAAAUGUUAACACAACACCCGUGGGAUGUAGAUUAAGGUCAACUUGUCCUUGUGCGUCUCUCCUAGUGUUGAUGGCAGAGUCUUAGUAUUUCAGCUGACGAAAUCUCUGCCCAUUCUCUUCCAAUGUUCCCUAAUAAGCUACAGGAGGACAGAGACAAAAGUUUGACUUCAUUAGUAACUUUUGGAAGUUGCCCAAUUUAGGAAAAAGAGUUAAUAAAUCAGGAAUUUUAUAAGAACUUUUUGUUAAAUCUGUAGUUAUUCAAAUCAGCCUCAGCAUGAUAAGACAACACUACAGGUUAUUAUAAAUAGUUGAAAAAGAAAAAUUAAAUUCCAACCAAACAAUUGAUCCUUAACUUUUUUUUUUUUUGAGA
rnacentral:lncRNA from 10 species